GAUCUAGUGUUUUUUUUUUUCCUCAAUCACUUUACAUGAAUGGGUUCUGUUUCAAACAUUUAAGUACAAAUAAUUUACAGAACACAUGGAUUUUGUUUCAUAUACACAUUAUCUAUUUGACCGUGACAAGGUCUCUUUUUGUAGUGUGCACAAUAAGCAACUUUUGUACAGUCUGUUCUUAAUCUUUUCUUUCUUUUGAGCUCACCAGUGUCUGAGAUUCCACCCACCAGCUUGGUUCCUCGCUGACACCUGGAGCAGGAGAAGUUUUAUAGGCCAGGGGGCAAAAUUGGACUCUACCACUCUUCACCAUGUCCGGGGGAGCUUCUUUCAUUGUUUAGGGUUUCCGUAGCUGAUGGCAUUAACAUUUCUUUUGCUUAGACUUGUUAGGGCUGUUGUGUUCCUUGAUUUUAAUAAACGAGGUGAACAUCAA